rnacentral:tRNA from 1 species
GCCCUCUUAGCUCAGUCGCAGAGCGCCUGUCUCGUAAACAGGAGGCCGGGAGUUCAAUUCUCUCAGGGGGCA